ACAUGCUGUUGGAUGUUGGUGCUGAUCCCAGUAGUGUGGAUGACUGUGGAGUGUCACUGCUCCACAUGCUGGCUUCUAGGCCUGUGGACCAUAAGGAAUUUUCAAAGAUUACAGAGAGGCUCAUACAAAGUGGAAUGAGAGUGAAUGUUGCAGAUCAUAAUGGCAGAACACCAAUACAUUAUGCAGCUAAAGAAGGAAAUUGGAAGUACCUAAAAAUACUCAUUGAUGCUGGAGGCGA